rnacentral:lncRNA from 1 species
GGGUCAGAUUAAUAAUGGAUUAAUAAUGAAGGUCAUAGAAGGUUUGUGGAGGAGGAAAACAGUUUUGUGCAUGAUCAGGAUUGGCUACAAUUGAAUUAAGAAAACAAUUUUUAAAGAUAAAGUGGUACAAUUUUCUAAGAGGACAAAGUUUUCUUAAAAUAUGAAUUGUUUUUGGUAACAGUUUGGGAGUUUCUUUGUGUUUAAUUGACCUGCCUUUGCCAAUGAGGUCGUUAUUAACACUGGCUGAGUAAGUAUUGUUUCACAGUGACUUCUGACUCUGAAGUGUUUUAAAAUUUUUUGAUAAUUUUGAGGAACUUCCCAAAUAUCAAAUUCAAAAUGAAGUUCAGUUGACCUCUAGCUAACGUUGAGGUUUUCUAAAGGGUCCCUGGAACACCUCAAAAUAUAUCUUUCCUCUCUGAUCUCCGAGAACCAGCAGAGAAGAGUGAGGGCUUGAAGAAAGAUUUUAAUUCUCUGCUCAGGAAUUGAACCUGGGAAGCUGGAGUGAAAACCAGGAAUGCUAGCCCCUAGACCGGCUAGAGGCUAAAAGCAGAAUUGUCCUGGUUUUUGCCCCCUGUUGAAAGCAAGAAUGUGCCAAGGAGGCAGACGGUGAAAACAAGUAUGAAGUUUAUGAUAGAACCACAGCACAACAUGUGGGAGCAGUUUAUUUAAGACAAAUAGGACAGUAAAGCACACCCAAAAGAGGAGUGUGGGUGCAUGUGUCCCCCUCGAUGAGGAGCAUACCAGUGAGGUUAUUUAAAUCACUUACAUAGGACAGUUCUUCCGGUCUUUGUUUUCCUUUGGCCAAUGUCAAUUAUCUUGUUUUAUUUCUCACACCUGACUGGACUCAGGGCCCUCCCAAAUAUGUUUGUGCGUUUUUUUGGCCAAGAUGGAUUCCAGAGCAAAGAGUUCCGGGAUGGUAAUAGGACUUACUACGGCCUGGCACCCCCUCCUUUUUUGACCCCUAGAAGUCUUACUGUGCAUGUGUAAUUGGGAAGGUCUCCUUGACCCCAGGAGAGAUUGAAGUGGUCAUUUUAUCUCUCUACUCCAUCAGAGGUCAGCUCCUGCCAUUAAUUUUCUCCUCGACAUGUCAAAGAGAAGCAGGGCCCAAUUUCCUUGGCCUAACAAAUCUCAGCUGUUCUCAGCCCAGGGGCCAAUCUACCUCUUACCUCAUCUCCACUUCAGAGAGAGGAAUGUUAAACUAUGCUUAUUCAGUAUGUUGAAUUACAUGGAAAGUAUUUUCAACUAAGUGGUGAUAAAACUUCUUAGAUUAUAGUCUAUGGGUAAAUGUUAUUAAUACACACACUCUAGAAAUUAUAGGGAACUCCUAAAAUUCUGAUAUAUCCUGGUAAGUGAUCUCAGUCAUAAUUUUAGUAAUUAACUUAUUGUAUGUCACAGCAGUAACCAAGUUUCUUUUCAAUUGCAUUGUAACCAGGUCUUUAACGAUGACUUGUUAAGACUUGUUAUAGUCUCUUGCUUUUGCAAAAGUGGUUCUUCUUCAGGAAGAUUCAUAAGAAGAACUUUUGAAAGGACAAAUCAUACUGAAACUGACAGCACUUAUGGCUUGAACCUAGCCACAGCCCAGAUUGGGACUUGAAGCCAGGUGCUGGAACUCAAACCUAACCUAAACUCAGACUGGGACUUGAACGAUGUUUUUUAAAUUAGGAUCACUCACCCAGUGUCUGGACUUACUGAGGUUCAGGUUCUUUGUGUCUCAGCGCAGAAGGAAUUCAGCAAGAUAGAAAGUGAUAGGCAAGAAAUAGAUUUAUUAAGAUAAGGUGCUUGUGAGAGAUACAAGCAGGCAGGCAAAGAGGCUCUGCCCUGAAGAUGAGGUGGGCUACACUUUUAUAAUCCAAGGGAAAUGGGGGUGGGAAAAGACUGCCUCUUCCUCUUUUUUCCAGUAGUAACUCCUCCUUUGUAUCUGGUAAGAGAGUGUUUGACCCUAUAAGGUCAAACUAGGACUGUCGCAGUGCUUAUUCAAAUCAGCAGACAGGUGGUCCUUAAACUUCUUUCCUUAAUCUGAACCUGAAUGCAGCCUCACCCUGUCCGCCACCAGAUGACCUGAGGCAUAUCUCAUGCCUCCACUAGUCAAGCAAACCUGCCUCACUGAGUAUUAGUGAUAAAAUAUAUGGCCUAUACAAUAUUUCCCCAUUAAUAUACAUUUGAGUCUGUCAUGAGAUCUGAUUAUAUAAAGGAGGCCUAGCACCAAGCAACAUGAUCUGAACCCCAAUAGGAGUCAGAACCCAGCAUCACGGGGUGGAUAUUUUGAUAGUCGGUGCUUUCUAUUGAAAGAUUUGCAAUCAAAGAGGGAAGUGAUGGAAAAAAAUCUGCAGUACUAAGGUGUGGGGAAGUCAGAAGGUUUAAACAUGGUUUAACUUUUCUGAUCAGAGCACCCAUUUUUUGGCCUAUCAGAUAUGCAUUGUACAUCUGCUUUGGCCAUUGAGGAAGGGAAUGCAUUUAACGGUCAAACUGGAGUAGCUGUGUUCCAGACAAGAUAAAGCUAAGGUAGCCAUUAUAGACACAAUUUUAGACACAUUCCUGUAUUAUUGAAAAGUUGAUUUUUCUGAACUGUAUUGCAGGCCAGGACAAAAACGCAGGCAAGUGUGGUAUUAUCUCAGAAUGUGGUGACUGCCUGUAUUUUGCUUAAUUGUCAUGCUCCCCACUGAGUUGUGUCUGUUAGAUGUCUUAUAUUUUGUUCCUAGUCUGAGUGAAGGGAAACUAUUGAGAACUGGGCAGCAACAACAUCCUCACUGUGAAAUGAAUCUAAUUGCUGCACCCAUAGUGAGAUGCCAUCCCCUGGAAUUCCACGAAAAAUUGACCCAGCUACUGUGACUGUGUGGGCAUGACUGACAAUAAGUGGGAAAGACUCUCACCAUUUCCUGUCCUGUGUGCCAGUACAUCAGAAGGACCCCCAUCAGUAAAUGUUAUUGUACAUCUGACUACCCAUGAGUCCCCUUAUGCUAUUUGGAGUGGAAUAGGUUGGCUUCUAGACAUGCAAGUCCAACUAGUGAGAUUAACUGUUCUUUGUUGUUUUUGUUUGGAAAGAUAUAAUGGGUCUAUGCCUAAUGGCACCCAAUAUAACAUGAGUGGCCGACUAUUACUGUGAUUGCUGACUCCUGGCUAGGCCAUCAGAAUGUUUCUUUUAGAGCCAGAGCCUACCCCUCCCCAUGGAAGUGGCCCUGGGUUUAUGAAAACCAGGGGUGGCCUGAACUUCCUUAUAACUGGACAGGACUCUGCUGUUGUUGACUCCUUUGACCUCGUAAGCGCUUGGAUCCAAAAUUUGCCCACAUGCUGGCAAAUGACUAUUCUCAGCAUACAAGGUAUCUUACACUUGACACUCUUUGGCUCCUGCUCUCUGUGUUGUAUUUGAGGCAUCUGAUUGCAGCCCCCCCCCCAUAACUGACCCCAGAGAUAUAGCAGAAGAAAGGUGGAUCGAGGUGGCAAGGUAUGCCAGGAUGGAGUAUAUGGUCAGGCCACUCAAGAUGUCUGUAUUCUUGCUCUUUGUACAUCACUUGCCUGAUCUGUCUGCUUCAUCCACACACACAUGACUGACCUUUCUGUGUACAGCUGGUGAUUGUUCUUAUCAAAAGGGUGGUGAGGGGCAUGCCCCUCUGCUGGUUUCCCUGGUAGCUAAUGAGUCAAUCUGACGUUAAUUGCCCCAUCACUGGCAAUCUCCUCUCCCCACAACCCGAGCAAAGCCUGCUGCCAUGUCCAGCCAACUGUAUGCUGCACAUGGUAGGGUGUCAUCCAGGACCUUGCUUCAGACGUGUAAGCUCCCAGAUCAAUUAAACCAGUAAUGUCUGUGUCUCGAAUGUCAGGCUUUUUCUUCAGUCUUGAAGACAAGCAAGGGGAGGGCUUGCAGGCCUGUGGGGUCCAGCCUAACAGUCACUCAGGGAGUCUGCUCUGUCUGGAGCCUCCUCUUCCUUUCUUCUUUCAAAGCCCUUUUAACAGUCCACUCUUCUCUAGAAGUUUCAGAGUAUGCUUUGGAAAGACGGAAAAAUCAAAUGACAUUAACAUGUAGAAAAGAGUUAUGAGCAUUAAAUAGGAUGAUUUAAUGAGCUUAGCACCGUGCCUGUAAAACAGCACACCAUAAGUGGCAGAGCUGCUCAAUAUUAACAUUAUCACUGUCAUUACCAUGGUUAUCGCCCUCUCUUAAACAUACUUAUUUGCCAUGCAGAAUUUCGAGCUGCACCCAAAAAAUAGCAAAAUUAGUGAACUAUCCAGGACCCACGCCUAUCCCCCCUUCCUGACAGAAUGGCACCCCACCCCACACACCUGUGUCCUUAUAUGAAGGUGAUCCCACCCCAGCUCUAGGAGGAGGCUCUUUGGUUUAAAAGUACUCCCCCUCCUUAUUAGUAGCAGUUUGCAGAGUGAAUGUGUGAAUACAUCUUGGCUCUGAGACUGAAGAAUUCCUGCUGAAGGAACUUGGGAAAACCUCCUCACUCCUAAGAGAGAACUACAUAGGACACCCUCUUCUUCCUCCUGAGAUUUCUGUGUGCAGAUGUAACAUCUGGCAUAGGUGCAGCCAUCUGCUUCGUGCCUACAUUUGAAGUAGCAGCUAUGAUGACUGAGCAAACACAUUGAGGAGUAUUGGGAUUCCUCUUAAUAUCUUUGAGCCACCUGAUCAACCUCUCUCUGGAUUUCUAGUUGUAUGUGAUAAUAAAUUUCCUUAUUGUUUAUGCCAUAUACCCCUGUAAGAUAUCACAGCUCUUAAAUAUACAGAGGCAAAAAUAGCAAAAUGUAUUGAUUAUUUAUUAUAUGUUGUGUCCUACAGAAGAUAAAAACUCUAACUUUCUACCCAAAGGUCUCUUUGGAGUUUAUCAUGGGAGGUUGAUUAAAAUUGUUUUGGUUUCUCAUCUGUCUGGAACUCUCCUUGGCAAGGACGAGGGUCACACUCAUUCGUGAAAGCAAAAGUAAAAUUCAUUGCCCAAUGAUGUUUUCUUAAAUACUCUUUCUAUGACAGGUGCUGUAUGAGGGAGGUACUGAGAAGCAGAACUUCACAGUCUAGAGAAUAAAAACUUGGGUAAUUAAGAUAGAGGCAGGAGGCCACAUACAGGGACUCAAGGGUGAAGUGAGGGCUUAGGAAGUUGGGGGUUAGAUGGGUGAAUGGUUGCAAUGGGAAGGUCAGAGAGAGGGUCAGGUAAGAGGCUUGGAAAGAGAGAAGAGAGAACAUUCCAAGCAAAAGAAAAAGCACAAAGUCAGAUGACAAACAGCCUGAUGUGUCCAGCAAAUACCAAAGCAUAUGUUAAAGCUAUCAACCUGUAAAUGCUGUGAAAAUGGUUUGGAAUAGAUAAACAUAGCAGUAGAACAAAGCAGAGAACCAUUUAUAUCAAUGAAUUUAAUAUAUAAAAAAGGCAGUAUUUCUAAUCAUUGCAGAAAUGAUGAAGGACUUCACUUCUCACUCUAUAGAUCACUGCAGGUCAGGAAUUAGACAAGAGCAUGGUAGAGAUGGCUUUUUUCUGCUGCAUAAUUGUCUGGAGUUUCCCCUGGAAGACUGGAAGGCAGGAGUUAAUGCUGUAUUCCCUCUCUCUUCCUCUUUCUUGAAUCUCAUGGCUCCUGCUCUUCUGAGCCUGCCUGAUCCAUUUUCCCGUCUCCCACAGCCCGCUUUCCUUGCUAACCUACACCACAAUUCCUGUUUUCUCACAAUGUUAGUUUUGCACAUGGCUCAUAAUGGCCCCCUGAAACCUGAGUAAUCUUCCUGAAUUUUAUGUUCCAUAUCCAUGGCUAACCCCCUUUCCAGUUCUCAGUUCCAAAUUGUAGGGAGAGAAAUAUGAUUGGAGGAGCUUACCUUUGAAGACACACUUCAAGAAUCAUUGGUCACUAGCAGCCAUGAUUGGCUGUCCUUGGGGUAUGUAACCAUGCCUGGUCCAAUCAGCCAUUGAAUAAGUAAGAUCAUGCAAUACAAACCAUGGCCACUUAACUGUAGGUGGGCAGAUUCUAUUUGCAUGGAUUAGCAUGUGAUUGUGCAAUACAAUAGCCACUAGCCAUGUGGAGAGUUUAAAUUCAAAUUGAUUGAAAUUAAAUAAAAUGUAAAGUAGUUCCUGUUCUGGAGCAAAGGGUUUAGAAUCCAACUAGUAUCUGUGAGAAUGCAGGUUCAAUCCCUGGCCUGGCUCAGUGAGUGAAAUGAUCCAGCAUUGCUUUGAGCUGCAGUGUAGGUUGCAGAUAAGGCUCAGAUCCUGCAUGUGCUGUGGUAUAGGCCAGCAGCCACAUUUGACCCCUAGCCUGACAACUUCCAUGUGCUGUAGGUGCGGCCCUAAAAAAUUAAAAAUUAAUAUAAAAUCCUCAUUUAUGCUAGCCACACUUCCAGUGCU